UUCGACUGUUUACCAAAAACAUAGCUAAUAGAAAAAAUUAUUAUUAGUGAUGCCUGCUCAAUGAUUAAACAAUAACCACUAAAAAUAAUUAAAUAGCUGCGGUAACACCUGACCGUACAAAGGUAGCACAAUAAAUCGCCUACUAAUUAUAGGAUAGAAUGAAGGUAAAACGAAGAUCUUACUGUCUCAAGACCAUAAAAUUUAAAAUAGAAUGUGUGUGUAAAUCCACACUAAGACGGCAAGACGAUAAGACCCUAAGAACUUUACCUAAAAUUUAAAUAAAAACACCAUCCCUAAAUUCUAAGUUUCGUUGGGGCAACGAUCUUUAAAAAAGUAACUAAGAUUAACCAAUCAAUAAAAAAAAACAUGAAAAUAAUAUAAAGAUAAGACCCAUUAAAAAAAAUAAAAAAAUUAAUGAUAAUAUAAUAAAAGUUCCUUAGGGAUAACAGCGUCAUAUCGUUUCAAGACAACCAUCCAAACGAUGUUUGCGACCUCGAUGUUGAAUUAYRA
rnacentral:rRNA from 1 species